UUUGUUACUUUCUAGUGAUAAUGUUAAUUGUUACUUUCUAGAGAUAAUGUUAAUUGUUUUGUGUUUCAAAAUAUGCAGCAGCACACAGGGAUCUCAACAGGGAGUCUUUUACAAACAAAAUCAUCAUCACCAUUUUUACCAUAUUUGUUGAGCUUCCUGUUUUUGGACUGGCUUCUUGUUCUUGCCUUCUUGCCAGACAACCUGAACAUCUGGUUAUAAUCCUGGACUCAAUUUCUGGAUUUCUCUCCUUUGGCCUUGCUGUUCUCACUGGCAAUUUCCAACAAAAGGCUCUUCCUUGCCUCCACGUGCCAAACGGACCAAGUGAGCCAGACUCUGGCCUGACCGUCGCCACCUUCCUUACCCAGAUACCGUCCCGGGUGGUGCUUGGAUUGGCCCGCCUCCCUUUCGGCAUGG